GCCUGACCAAACCAAAUUAUGACUUUUCGCUCCAGCAAUACCUGCCAUCUAUCCCUAGUCUCUGACUCUUUCAGAACUUUUGGAGAACAAAAGAAAGAGGAUAAUGGAGAAGAUCAUGAUGUGAAUUAUGUGAUCAUUGUGUGAAUCAGGAAAGACAAUAUGAAAAUAAAUAGAGCUGGACAAGGAACCUGAAUCUUCAUCUUGAUUCUGCAAAAUAUUGAACAAAGUAAACUGCCAUAGCAAAUAAACCAUAAAAUAUAAGGGUGGCACAGAGUGAAAUCAAGAUGCUGGCUGGGCUGUAUUAUCAUAUGGAGUUAGCAUCCUCUUCUACGUUCCUUCAGGCCCUUGGCAAAAUUCAGCUUCUUGCAGCUGUAUCUCUAAGUCUUUUCACAAUGAAGUCUUGGCAGACAAAGGCCUUAAUCAUCACUCUCUGCAACUUGGAGAUUUUUGUCUGUUGGAAAAG
rnacentral:lncRNA from 1 species